GAAGGCGCCCGAUCUCGUCUAAUCUCGGAAGCUAAGC
rnacentral:rRNA from 1 species